AUUGAACGCUGGCGGCAGGCCUAACACAUGCAAGUCGAACGAGUGGCGGACGGGUGAGUAAUGUCUGGGAACCCGCCUGAUGGAGGGGGAUAACUCCUGGAAACGGUAGCUAAUACCGCAUACCAUCAGAUGUGCCCAGAUGGGUUUAGCUAGUGGGUGGGGUAACGGCUCACCAAGGCGACGAUCCCUAGCUGGUCUGAGAGGAUGACCAGCAACCUUGGAACUGAAACACGGCCCAGACUCCUACGGAGGGCAGCAGUGGGGAAUAUUGGACAAUGGGCGCAAGCCUGAUGGAGCCAUGCCGCGUGUAUGAAGAAGGCCUUCGGGUUGUAAAGUACUUUCAGCGGGGAGGCGGUACCCGAAGAAGAAGCACCGGCUAACUCCGUGCCAGCAGCCGCGGUAAUUC
rnacentral:rRNA from 1 species